CCGUAAACGAUGAUCAUUAAAAAUUUGUGUAACACAUGAGUUUUAUAGCUAACGCGUUAAAUGAUCCACCUGAGUAGUACAUUCGCAAGAAUGAAACUCAAACUGGAAUUGACGGGGACCUGCACAAGUGGUGGAGCAUGUUGUUUAAUUUGUCAGCACACAAAAACCUUACCAAGAUUUGAUCCACGGCAAAGCCAUAGAAAUAUGGUGGAGGUUAACCGUGAGACAGGUGAUGCAUGGCUGUCGUCAGUUCGUGUCGUGAGAUGUUGUCUUAAGUGACGCAACGAACGCAACCCUUCUCGUUAGUUAAUUUAUCUAACGAUACUGCCUAUGAAAGUAGGAGGAAGGUGGGGAUGAUGUCAGGUAUCACGUCCUUUAUAUCUUGGGCUACAAACGUACUACAAUGGUCGGUACAAAGAGUCGCAAAUCAGUAAUGGUGAGCUAAUCUGUAAAAGCCGAUCUCAGUUCGGAUCGAGGCUUGCAAUUCAGCCUCGUGAAGUUGGAAUCACUAGUAAUCGCGUAUCAGAACGACGCGGUGAAUACGUUCUCAGGUCUUGUACACACCGCCCGUCGCACUAUGAGAGCCGUUAAUACUUAAAACCGUUUAGCUAACUUUAUUGAAGCGGACGUCUAGGGUAGGAACGGUGAUUGGAGUUAAGUCGUAACAAGGUAACCGUA
rnacentral:rRNA from 1 species